UACGUAGGGACCAAGCGUUGUUCGGAUUUACUGGGCGUAAAGGGCGCGUAGGCGGCGUGGUAAGUCACUUGUGAAAUCUCUGAGCUUAACUCAGAACGGUCAAGUGAUACUGCUGUGCUAGAGUGCGGUAGGGGCAAUCGGAAUUCUCGGUGUAGCGGUGAAAUGCGUAGAUAUCGAGAGGAACACCUGAGGUGAAGACGGGUUGCUGGGCCGACACUGACGCUGAGUGCGCGAAAGCGUGGGGAGCGAACAGG
rnacentral:rRNA from 1 species